GACGAACGCUGGCGGCGUGCUUAACACAUGCAAGUCGAACGGUAAGGCCCUUCGGGGUACACGAGUGGCGAACGGGUGAGUACCACGUGGGUGAUCUGCCCUGCACUUCGGGAUAAGCCUGGGAAACUGGGUCUAAUACCGGAUAGGACCACUGCCUGCAUGGGUGGUGGUGGAAAGCUUUUGCGGUGUGCGAUGGGCCCGCGGCCUAUCAGCUUGUUGGUGGGGUGAUGGCCUACCAAGGCGACGACGGGUAGCCGGCCUGAGAGGGUGACCGGCCACACUGGGACUGAGAUACGGCCCAGACUCCUACGGGAGGCAGCAGUGGGGAAUAUCGCACAAUGGGCGCAAGCCUGAUGCAGCGACGCCGCGUGAGGGAUGACGGCCUUCGGGUUGUAAACCUCUUUCAGCAUCGACGAAGCGAAAGUGACGGUAGGUGCAGAAGAAGGACCGGCCAACUACGUGCCAGCCGCCGCGGUAA
rnacentral:rRNA from 1 species